CCUACGGGUGGCAGCAGUGAGGAAUAUUGGUCAAUGGGCGUAAGCCUGAACCAGCCAAGUCGCGUGCGGGAUGAAGGUUCUAUGGAUCGUAAACCUCUUUUAUAAGGGAAUAAAGUGUGGGACGUGUCCUAUUUUGUAUGUACCUUAUGAAUAAGGAUCGGCUAACUCCGUGCCAGCAGCCGCGGUAAUACGGAGGAUCCGAGCGUUAUCCGGAUUUAUUGGGUUUAAAGGGUGCGUAGGCGGCCUUUUAAGUCAGCGGUGAAAGUCUGUGGCUCAACCAUAGAAUUGCCGUUGAAACUGGGGGGCUUGAGUAUGUGUGAGGCAGGCGGAAGGCGUGGUGUGGCGGUGAAAUGCUUAGAUAUCACGCAGAACCCCGAUUGCGAAGGCAGCAUGCCAAGCCAUGACUGACGCUGAGGCACGAAAGCGUGGGGAUCAAACAGGAUUAGAUACCCGAGUAGUC
rnacentral:rRNA from 1 species